rnacentral:rRNA from 1 species
AUUGAACGCUGGCGGCAGGCCUAACACAUGCAAGUCGAGCGAGCGGCGGACGGGUGAGUAAUGUCUGGGAAACUGCCUGAUGGAUGGGGGUAACUACUGGAAACGGUAGCUAAUACCGCAUCCCAUCAGAUGUGCCAAGAUGGGAUUCGCUAGUAGGUGGGGUAACGGCUCACCUAGUCGACGAUCCCUCGAUGGUCUGAGAGGAUGACCAACCACACGGGAACUGAGACACGGUCCAGACUCCUACGGGAGGCAGCGUGGGGGAAUAUUGCACAAUGGGCGCAAGCCUGAUGCAGCCAUGCCGCGUGUGGGAAGAAGGCCUUCGGGUUGUAAAGCACUUUCAGCGGGGAGGCGUUACCCGCAGAAGAAGCACCGGCUAACUCCGUGCCAGCAGCCGCGGUAAUUC